rnacentral:rRNA from 1 species
CCUACGGGGUGCAGCAGUGGGGAAUAUUGCACAAUGGGCGCAAGCCUGAUGCAGCCAUGCCGCGUGUAUGAAGAAGGCCUUCGGGUUGUAAAGUACUUUCAGCGGGGAGGAAGGCGAUAAGGUUAAUAACCUUGUCGAUUGACGUUACCCGCAGAAGAAGCACCGGCUAACUCCGUGCCAGCAGCCGCGGUAAUACGGAGGGUGCGAGCGUCAAUCGGAAUUACUGGGCGUAAAGCGCACGCAGGCGGUCUGUCAAGUCGGAUGUGAAAUCCCCGGGCUCAACCUGGGAACUGCACUCGAAACUGGCAGGCUGGAGUCUUGUAGAGGGGGGUAGAAUUCCAGGUGUAGCGGUGAAAUGCGUAGAGAUCUGGAGGAAUACCGGUGGCGAAGGCGGCCCCCUGGACAAAGACUGACGCUCAGGUGCGAAAGCGUGGGGAGCAAACAGGAUUAGAUACCCUCGUAGUC